ACCAUAAGGAGGAGGCUCAGUGUUCUCUCCUGAGAAUGAAGCUGCCUUUAGGUGUUCCUUCCACAACUGCCUAUUGCCAUUGAUGAGUGUUCUUUUCUUCCUUUGGGGAAGUAAGAGGAGAGGACACAAUCUGAGUGG
rnacentral:snoRNA from 14 species